rnacentral:tRNA from 1 species
AGCGAGAUGGCGCAGCUGGUAGCGCGCUGGGCUCAUACCGCGUACGCAACAGUCUGCGGAAGGCACCCAGAGGUCGUCGGAUCGAAACUGACUCUCGCUA